rnacentral:rRNA from 1 species
UACGUAGGGGGCUAGCGUUGUCCGGAAUCAUUGGGCGUAAAGAGCGCGUAGGCGGCCAGAUAAGUCCGGUGUGAAAGUCACAGGCUCAACCUGUGAAUGCCGCUGGAAACUGUCUGGCUAGAGUCCGGAAGGGGCGAGUGGAAUUCCUGGUGUAGCGGUGAAAUGCGCAGAUAUCAGGAGGAACACCAAUGGCGAAGGCAGCCCGCUGGAACGGUACUGACGCUGUGGCGCGAAAGCGUGGGGAGCGAACAGG